rnacentral:rRNA from 1 species
UACGUAGGGACCAAGCGUUGUUCGGAUUUACUGGGCGUAAAGGGCGCGUAGGCGGCGCGGUAAGUCACUUGUGAAAUCUCUGAGCUUAACUCAGAACGGCCAAGUAAUACUGCAGUGCUAGAGUGUGGAAGGGGCAAUCGGAAUUCUUGGUGUAGCGGUGAAAUGCGUAGAUAUCAAGAGGAACACCUGAGGUGAAGACGGGUUGCUGGGCCAACACUGACGCUGAUGCGCGAAAGCCAGGGGAGCAAACGGG